rnacentral:rRNA from 1 species
AGUCACUGACAUUAGAUACCCCGGUAGUCCCAGCCGUAAACUAUGCGCGUUAGGUGUACUGGUGACCACGAGUCACCGGGUGCCGAAGGGAAACCGUGAAACGUGCCGCCUGGGAAGUACGGUCGCAAGGCUGAAACUUAAAGGAAUUGGCGGGGGAGCACCGCAACGGGAGGAGCGUGCGGUUUAAUUGGAUUCAACACCGUAAAACUCACCAGGGAAGACUGUUACAUGAAGGCCGAGAUGAAGACUCUGCUAGAUUUUCAG